UACGUAGGGGGCUAGCGUUGUCCGGAAUCAUUGGGCGUAAAGCGCGUGUAGGCGGUCCGGUAAGUCCGCUGUGAAAGUCGGGGGCUCAACCCUCGGAUGCCGGUGGAUACUGUCGGGCUUGAGUACGGAAGAGGCGAGUGGAACUCCUGGUGUAGCGGUGAGAUGCGCAGAUAUCAGGAAGAACACCGAUGGCGAAGGCAGCUUGCUGGGACGGUACUGACGCUGAGGGACGAAAGCUAGGGGAGCGAAUGGG
rnacentral:rRNA from 1 species